rnacentral:lncRNA from 1 species
CUAGGCUGCUCCCCUAAAUUCCAGUUCCUUGCACAGAGACAGGCCAAAGGGGGCACCAAGGAACAUCUGCUGGAUGGAAUGAACAAGGGAAGAGAGGAAGGAAGGAAGGAAGGAAGGAAGGAAGGAAGGAAGGAAGGAAAGAAGGAAGGAAGGAAAGAAGGUGUAACUCUUCCAACUCACCAUCCUUCCUCUGCCUCCUUCCCUCAAAUAUAUCCAGGUCUUGUUCACUCUUCAAAAAACAAAAUUAUGAUGCCAUCCCCCAGAGACCGACCACGGAAGACCCCAUCACUGCCAGCCUAAGAAGAGUAGCUUUCCCAGGGGUAUGGCUGAUGCCAACUACACUCCACCAACCCUAUGCCACUCUCUCCAACAGCGAGCUCUCUGAGGGCCCCAACCACAAGGCCCAGAGAGCCAGCCCCAAACCCCUUUCUGAUUCUUAACAACAGAACAUUCUUUACAAAAAAGUGAGUUUAUUUUUUAAAUUAAAUAAUACACUCGAAGUAUAAAAUUUGCCUAGGCACAAACAAUUUACGG